rnacentral:lncRNA from 1 species
AGGUUCAUGAUGACACAGGACCUUGUCUGAACAUAAUGAUUUCAAAAUUUGAGCUUAAAAAUGACACUCUGAAAUCCAGUCAGUGUGCCUCACUAGACUUUUCGAUUUCAAGAUUUUCUGCAGAAAAUGUUUUGAAAACUUUGAAUACUUAAAAAUGGCAGGUGUAGUAUUGCACUUUGCUAGUUGCUCAGAUACCCUUUUUUAUUUGUAUAGAUAUUCUGAGUUCCUUUUUUUUUCUACAUGUUGUACGUUGUCGAAAGCUAAAAGGAAACUUAUCCUUGGAUCACGGAAGGCAGAGGCAUUUGGUGAGAUGGAAACAAGGAUGUGUAAAAAUGAGACGACCACCUCUCGGAUUAAAAAAAAAAAGUGCCAGAGUUCUAGGGUUCUAAGUGAUGUCCAGGAAGGAGGAGGAAUAAUAUUUAUGGAGCAUAUAUUAUGGAACACAGUGAGUAUAGUACCUGCCUUUAAAUGAAUACUGUUGGUUUUUUAGGACAGUUGCUUUUUUUUCUUUUUUCUUCAGCUGUGUGCAGUUGAUUAACUUGUACAGAGCCUAUCACACAAUAGAUGUUUAAGAAAUAUUAAGUGAAUGAAUGAGGCAGCAUUGCUAAUUUUUGUAUAGUGAGACAGUAUCUCACAGUCCAGGCUGGAGUUCAGUGGCAUUAACAUAACUCACUGCAGCCUUGAACACCUGAGCUCAAACGAUCCUUUCACCUUAUCCUCCAGAGUAGCUGGGACUACAGUCGCGUGUCAACAUGCCUGGCUAAUUUUAGUUUUCUAAUUUUUUUAGAGUUGGGAUCUCACUAUGUUGCUUAGACUGGUCUUGAACUCCUGGCCUCAUGCCAUCCUCUUGCCUCAGCUGGUAUUGUAGGUGUGAGCCACUGUGCCAGGUACUAAUUUUUUUUAUGUUAGAAAACAAGUUUUUAGGUAUUUUAUAGUUACUUCCUUAUGACAAUAUCUCAUCAGAAUCUAGGCCUAUCUGAUAUCUGACUCCAUACGUUUAUACCGUGUAGUCAGCCAUUCCCAGAUAGAGGUCAUUUGAGUUACUUAGUGUUUACCAGCACUUGUUUACUACCUUGCGAUGAUAUUUACAGUGUAUUUUUGGGUAUGGUUUUGGGGUUAUUUGGUUGUUGUUAAAAUGCCUGUAAUCCCGGCACUUUGGGAGGUUGAGGCGGGUGGAUCACCUGAGGUCAGGAGUUCGAGCCCAGCCUGGCCAACAUGGCGAAACCCUACCUCUACUAAAAAUACAAAAAUUAGCCUGGCGUGGUGGCAGGCACCUGUAAUCCCAACUACGCAGGAGGCUAAGGCAGGAGAAUUGCUUGAACCCGGGAGGCGGAGGUUGCAGUGAGCCGAGAUCGCGCCAAUGGCACUCCAUUCAGCUUGAGUGACAGAGGUGAGACUCCCAUCUCAAGGUAAAAAAAAAAAAUAGAAAUCAGCAACUGCUAUUUGAGUUUACAGGAGUGAGAAGUCCUCUCUUGCAUGGUGAGAUGGGGAACAUUUAAUUCAAUAGAAAUAUUUGAGACCAGGUAUGGUGGCUCAAGCCUGUAAUCCCAGCACUUUGGGAGGCUGAGUUGGGUGGAUCACCUGACAUCAGGAGUUUGAGACUAGCCUGGCCAACAUAGCAAUACCCUGUCUCAAAGAUACAAAAAUUACCCAAGCUUGGUGGUGUGUGUCUGUAAUCCCAGCUACUCAGGAGGCUGAGGCAGGAGAAUCACUUGAACCUGGGCGGCAAAGGUUGCAGUGAGCCGAGACCAUGCCACUGCACUCCAGCCUGGGUGACAGAGUGAGACUCCGUCUGGAA